CAGUCCUUACUCAUGGUACAAGAAGUAGAGUCAGCGAGGAUAUAAAGAUGCACAGAUCUCUCUCAUAAAGGAUUAUAACUGAUCAGAGAUGCAUACUGAUUACCACAUUACUAGGUUAAAUUUGUCUCUACCUCUGACCCUUAAAUAAUAUAAUCUGAUUGUUGAGCAGUGUAUGUUGUCGUCAGUAGGAUCAUGCAAAAUAAUGCUUGCCCGGAGAUUGGGCCCGUUAAGUACCUCGGUGCAAGAGUAAGGUGCAGAGGCGGAUCUUAAAAGGGGCAAGAGGGGGCAACUGACCCCCCUUAAUUUUUUUGUUUGUUAAUAUUUUACAUAUUUUUAGGUUGUAAAAUUGAAAUUGACCCCCCUUAACUUCAUAGUCAGAUCCGCCACUGGUAAGGUGUAUGAUCUUUUUAACUCAAGACUCUUAAAGUUUUUGUGGUAGUUAGUUACCUCCUUCCUGAAUUCACCAUGUUCCUAUUGAUAGGGUUCAUUGGCUUUUAUCUUCCUGUGACACCUGUCUCUAUCACGUGUUUUUUCCUUGAGGGUUCGACGAUGGACAUACCAUGUUGUCUUUGCCCUGGUAAAUAGUUAGCGGGAAAGGUGAUUAGACGAGUCAGUGGGCCCUAUCAUUGCCCCCUGCCCCCUACUAAAGUACAUUCAAUGAAGUAGGGGGCAAUAACAGGGUCCAUUUUCAUACACUUCCCUCUGACUCGUCUAAGCACCCUCCCCGCUAACUAUUUAUCGGGGCAAAGACAGCGGGGUUUGUCUGUCAUCGACCCCUCCGGGUCACACAGAGGAAAAAACACGUACUCCCUCCGUCCCAAUUUAUGUGAACGGGGUUGACUUUCACGGAGAUUAAGAAAAAGGUAGUAAAUGUAGUUGAAAAGUGGGUAAAGUGGUGGGACCCAUCAAUAUUUAAUAAUAAAUUUGGGAUAGUGGAGGAAAGUAGUGGGUGUAAUAGUGUUUAUUAUAAGAGCAUCUCCAACCAUCUAAAACCCUUGGCUAAAAGGUGAGUUGACUUACUUAAAAUAAAAAAAUUUAGCCAACAGCUCCAAAAACUCAACUCCAACCAUGCUCACCUGUUGUCUAUAAAUUUAGCCAACCUCCUGUGGAUGGCUAAAUUUGUCGAACAUCUACAAGUCUGUAAGAAAAUCUGUAGGAAGAUCGUACAUCAUUUAUUACCAUAUUGAACUGAUAUAUUUUAUUUUAACAAUUUAAAAUAUUAAUAACAUACUAUUAUUAAAUUAUAGCCAACCAAUAUAGCCGGUACCAUUGAAGCAAAAUGUCUUACAGGUUCAGCAAAUUUUACAUAAUGUCUUACAAGUCCAAUUUAGCCAACGAUUAUAGCCAACGCCGUUGGAGAUGCUCUAAGAGAAUAUAAUUUCUAAAUGGAGUAAACACUUGAAAUAUCAGAUCCUAGAUGAGUAUAUUCUAAUUGCGGCAACUUCUUCAUUGAUUGAUAAUGAUGGAUGGAAUUAGGCUUUCUGGAAGUAAACUUUCUUAUACUAAACUAUUGUAAUAUAAAUUCCUAGUCAUAUAAAAUAUAUUAAUAUCCUUUUUUAUCUUCUGGCAAACAAGAAACUAGGAUUUAAAAUUACUUUGGGUACUCCAGUGGAAAACACAUUGAAAAUUAAAACCAACUUUAGUAUAACAGUGUCUUAUUCUAAUUCCCCAUUUCCCCCCGAUUGACAUGCCCAUCAGUUGUCUCCUAUUAAGAUGUUGAAAAUUCAGUAAUUUCUUGGUGAAAGUUCUGGUUUACUUGAACAUGAGUUUGUGCAGUUCGUGUUAAAGUCGUCUAGUUUUGUUGCGAUUUUCUAGCUCAAUUUUAAUCAUAAUAUAUCAAUUCAAAAAAUUUAGAAGUUUUCAGAGAAUUAAAUUAUGUUCCAAGGUACUUUUAUGAUUGAGUAUAGUCAUUAUAGACUGCAUACAAGAAUAUAAUUGCUUUCUAUAACAGUCCUUACUCAUGGUACAAGAAGUAGAGUCAGCGAGGAUAUAAAGAUGCACAGAUCUCUCUCAUAAAGGAUUAUAACUGAUCAGAGAUGCAUACUGAUUACCACAUUACUAGGUUAAAUUUGUCUCUACCUCUGACCCUUAAAUAAUAUAAUCUGAUUGUUGAGCAGUGUAUGUUGUCGUCAGUAGGAUCAUGCAAAAUAAUGCUUGCCCGGAGAUUGGGCCCGUUAAGUACCUCGGUGCAAGAGUAAGGUGCAGAGGCGGAUCUUAAAAGGGGCAAGAGGGGGCAACUGACCCCCCUUAAUUUUUUUGUUUGUUAAUAUUUUACAUAUUUUUAGGUUGUAAAAUUGAAAUUGACCCCCCUUAAUUUUUUUGUGACCCCUUUUAAUUUUUUUUACAAAAAAAUUGACCCCCCUUAACUUCAUAGUCAGAUCCGCCACUGGUAAGGUGUAUGAUCUUUUUAACUCAAGACUCUUAAAGUUUUUGUGGUAGUUAGUUACCUCCUUCCUGAAUUCACCAUGUUCCUAUUGAUAGGGUUCAUUGGCUUUUAUCUUCCUGUGACACCUGUCUCUAUCACGUGUUUUUUCCUUGAGGGUUCGACGAUGGACAUACCAUGUUGUCUUUGCCCUGGUAAAUAGUUAGCGGGAAAGGUGAUUAGACGAGUCAGUGGGCCCUAUCAUUGCCCCCUGCCCCCUACUAAAGUACAUUCAAUGAAGUAGGGGGCAAUAACAGGGUCCAUUUUCAUACACUUCCCUCUGACUCGUCUAAGCACCCUCCCCGCUAACUAUUUAUCGGGGCAAAGACAGCGGGGUUUGUCUGUCAUCGACCCCUCCGGGUCACACAGAGGAAAAAACA
rnacentral:lncRNA from 1 species